UCUCUCUCUCCACUCUCUUUCUCUCUCUUCUCCACGGUACUCCCUUCCCCCUUCUCUCUCUCUCUCUCCCUCCCUCCAUUCGAGCUCAGAUCGCCGCGGUCAGAUUGGAAUCGACGACGACGGCGCGGCUCUCUGCCAGCCAAUCUAAAUCGCAGGAGAUCGGUGAAACAUCCGCGACGAUGUCGGAGCGCCGAGGAAAAUUACCGGAUGCAGAUCCGCUGAAAUCGAGCGGCGGCGAGGAGGCUCUGUCGCCGAGGGCAUCGCUGAAGUAGCAGAUUGGAAUCGAUGAUGACGGCGCGGCUCUCUGCCAGCCAAUCUAAAUCGCAGGAGAUCGUGGAAACAUCCGCGACGAUGUCGGAGCGCGGAGGAAAAUUACCGGAUGCAGAUCCGCUGAAAUCGAGCGGCGGCGGUGGCGGCGAGGAGGCUCUGUCGCCGAGGGCAUCGCUGAAGUAGCAGAUUGGAAUCGACGGCACGUUGAAGCAGAUUUCAUCAGGCGGUGGUUCGAGUCUCGACGGCGAUGUUGUGACGAACGGCGCUGCUAUAGGCGGCGGAACGAAGUGCAAUCGAACGCGCUACAGCUGAUGAACGAGAGAAACCGAGAGAGGGGAGAAAUAGGGCGGCAGAGAGGCAGCGGCAACAACGAUGGCGAUGGCGCGACGCCGGCGAUGGUGUGGUAACUACGACAAGGGGUGUAGUUGCUCUGUUAUUGCUUCAAGGAUGGUUUUAUAGAAAACGUUUUCAGGCAUUGCUUCAUCUUCAUUUUGGAGUAAAUAGAAACAUUGAAUGAAUUGAUUGUAAGGACAUGAGCAUGUCCAGAAUUCGUUUAAAUUUAGGACUUCCCUUUUUUUUGUGAAGAUCGAAAUGGGUUUUUGGCCAUGAUAUCA
rnacentral:lncRNA from 1 species